UAAUACGUAGGUGGCGAGCGUUGUCCGGAAUUACUGGGCGUAAAGGGUGCGCAGGCGGUCAUUUAAGUCAGAUGUGAAAACCCGGGGCUUAACUCCGGGAUUGCAUUUGAAACUGGGUGGCUAGAGUGCAGGAGAGGGAAGCGGAAUUCCUAGUGUAGCGGUGAAAUGCGUAGAUAUUAGGAAGAACACCAGUGGCGAAGGCGGCUUCCUGGACUGUAACUGACGCUGAGGCACGAAAGCGUGGGGAGCAAACAGG
rnacentral:rRNA from 1 species